rnacentral:lncRNA from 1 species
GACGCUUGGAGCAUCACUUUAAUAGAUUCUGCACAAGGCAGUAACAGCAGAACUGCAUCGCUCUGCGAGUCAACAUCACAACUGCUAUCAGAAUACAGGCUCAAUCAUGACAAGUUCAGCUCGAGCGUGGUGUGGGCCCGUGUGGCCCCUGUGCACGAGUCUCUCCUGGAGUCCGCUGAGCUUCUCUUCCAUGUGUCCGUGCCCUGGCUGCCCGUGGAACUGCCGUACAGAAGCAGAUGUGAGUAUCACAGAUGAUACACUCAGUUUUACAUCAGCUUUGAGCUGUGGCACUUUAUUUUCACAUUAUUUUCUCAGUAAACAGCACAGCCCAGGAGCUGAUGGAGGCGGUUCUGGUGACUCUAGAUCAUUCUUCCUCUGUCAGUGGACAAUACCUGAUGAAACUCUGCGACUCAGAGGAGUAUCUCAGAAGCGAUGAAAUCUUGGGAUUGUAUGAACGCAUCCAGGUGUAUCAGAAGUUUGCUCUGGAUGUUCCAGUGAGGAUGGUGCUCAAGGACUCCGCUGACAAAACACUGACGCGAGAUGAGGAAGACGACUGGCAGAUGUUUCAUUUUAAUCAAGUCCUCGCUUCUGCUUGUGCAGUCAGCACUAUGAGGACGUCUCUGCAGGAGAAGCUGAGCAGCUACAGCCAGGCUGUAAACAAGCUCUUGAGAAGCUGGUGUGGUGUCGGUGGGAGGGAGGUUGCGGAGAGCGUUCAUGCCGUGUGUGAGCAGCUGUGUGGCGUCACUACAGUAGAUCUGGAGGAAGCCGUCGGCCGGAUCCAGCGCUUCGCUCCAGUCACACUGGUACAGCCUGAGCAACACACCUCAAGCGUUUCUGAAUGA